CCUUGUCUUGUAGCUAGGGGCCUUCCUCGGACUCAGACUAUUGAAGUGGGAGAUCAAAUUGAGAUGGAAUUUCCUAAUGACAGGGUAACUUUGCUUCUAGGAAGAGGAGGGGAUACUAUUAAUGCCUUCGAAGGCACGUAUUGAGCAUUUUGUUUUAAGCAUGUAAAUAGAUUUGUUUAGCUGUCCGCUACAUACUAAUACAACUGUCAUCCGCACUCAUUUAGUUGUCGUAUGAAGAUUUUCUAGAUGGAUCUAUAAAAUGGACAGUGCGACUGACUGGUAAUAGAGAGAAAAUUGAGAUGGCAAGGGCAAUGGUACAGGAUAUUGCGACUCGGGAUUGGAUGGACCCACGUCUCACAGGUGGUUAUCAGCAGCAAUCAUUUCAAUCAAUGCCGGGUUGGGGCACUGGCUAUCCUCAGCAAGGUGGUUAAUAUGACCAAACCCAGAUGUAGUGCACCAAGUUGAGAGUUGUGCAGUAGCGUAAAGGUGAGUUU